rnacentral:rRNA from 1 species
UUAAAUUGAAGAGUUUGAUCAUGGCUCAGAUUGAACGCUGGCGGCAGGCCUAACACAUGCAAGUCGAACGGUAACAGGAAGCAGCUUGCUGCUUUGCUGACGAGUGGCGGACGGGUGAGUAAUGUCUGGGAAACUGCCUGAUGGAGGGGGAUAACUACUGGAAACGGUAGCUAAUACCGCAUAACGUCGCAAGACCAAAGAGGGGGACCUUCGGGCCUCUUGCCAUCGGAUGUGCCCAGAUGGGAUUAGCUAGUAGGUGGGGUAACGGCUCACCUAGGCGACGAUCCCUAGCUGGUCUGAGAGGAUGACCAGCCACACUGGAACUGAGACACGGUCCAGACUCCUACGGGAGGCAGCAGUGGGGAAUAUUGCACAAUGGGCGCAAGCCUGAUGCAGCCAUGCCGCGUGUAUGAAGAAGGCCUUCGGGUUGUAAAGUACUUUCAGCGGGGAGGAAGGCGUUGUGGUUAAUAACCACAGCGAUUGACGUUACCCGCAGAAGAAGCACCGGCUAACUCCGUGCCAGCAGCCGCGGUAAUACGGAGGGUGCAAGCGUUAAUCGGAAUUACUGGGCGUAAAGCGCACGCAGGCGGUCUGUCAAGUCGGAUGUGAAAUCCCCGGGCUCAACCUGGGAACUGCAUUCGAAACUGGCAGGCUAGAGUCUUGUAGAGGGGGGUAGAAUUCCAGGUGUAGCGGUGAAAUGCGUAGAGAUCUGGAGGAAUACCGGUGGCGAAGGCGGCCCCCUGGACAAAGACUGACGCUCAGGUGCGAAAGCGUGGGGAGCAAACAGGAUUAGAUACCCUGGUAGUCCACGCCGUAAACGAUGUCGACUUGGAGGUUGUGCCCUUGAGGCGUGGCUUCCGGAGCUAACGCGUUAAGUCGACCGCCUGGGGAGUACGGCCGCAAGGUUAAAACUCAAAUGAAUUGACGGGGGCCCGCACAAGCGGUGGAGCAUGUGGUUUAAUUCGAUGCAACGCGAAGAACCUUACCUACUCUUGACAUCCAGAGAACUUAGCAGAGAUGCUUUGGUGCCUUCGGGAACUCUGAGACAGGUGCUGCAUGGCUGUCGUCAGCUCGUGUUGUGAAAUGUUGGGUUAAGUCCCGCAACGAGCGCAACCCUUAUCCUUUGUUGCCAGCGGUUAGGCCGGGAACUCAAAGGAGACUGCCAGUGAUAAACUGGAGGAAGGUGGGGAUGACGUCAAGUCAUCAUGGCCCUUACGAGUAGGGCUACACACGUGCUACAAUGGCGCAUACAAAGAGAAGCGACCUCGCGAGAGCAAGCGGACCUCAUAAAGUGCGUCGUAGUCCGGAUUGGAGUCUGCAACUCGACUCCAUGAAGUCGGAAUCGCUAGUAAUCGUGGAUCAGAAUGCCACGGUGAAUACGUUCCCGGGCCUUGUACACACCGCCCGUCACACCAUGGGAGUGGGUUGCAAAAGAAGUAGGUAGCUUAACCUUCGGGAGGGCGCUUACCACUUUGUGAUUCAUGACUGGGGUGAAGUCGUAACAAGGUAACCGUAGGGGAACCUGCGGUUGGAUCACCUCCUUACCUUAAAGAA